GGCUUGCGUUAAUGACAUGCAAAUAUUCUUUAAAUAUUCUUCAUACUCAUUGUAAUAUCACACAUCAUCUUAUAGCACAGAAAACAUGUAGCAGAUAUCCAGCAGACAUGCCAAUACAAAAAGCAUAUUCAUGGACAGGCAAUUAACUCAAUCCAAAAUAAAUUGAUAAAUGUCACACUAUGUGACAGACAUAAUUUGGUUCUCAUGUUUGUGCAAUAUGCAUGUCUGCAAACAAUGCAAGCAGUACUACUUUAAGAUUAGAUCAGAGCACCUGGCAACUGGACAGGAAAGUCAAAUUUUGGCAGGAAGUCCAUUAUUGCAACAGAAUUUUGGAAAUCAGCUAAAAUUUACAAAAACAGACUCCCUCUUUUUUUCUUUCUUAAGACUACAACUCAUAUUGCUCUUGGACUAGUAUUCUCUAAUAAAUCAGUUGUUUAAUAGAUUAUUACGCUGCCAUUUUCAUCUGUAUCAAUACUAAGACAAAC